UUAAGCGACUAAGCGUACACGGUGGAUGCCCUGGCAGUCAGAGGCGAUGAAGGACGUGCUAAUCUGCGAAAAGCGUCGGUAAGGUGAUAUGAACCGUUAUAACCGGCGAUGUCCGAAUGGGGAAACCCAGUGCAAUUCGUUGCACUAUCGUUAACUGAAUACAUAGGUUAACGAGGCGAACCGGGGGAACUGAAACAUCUAAGUACCCCGAGGAAAAGAAAUCAACCGAGAUUCCCCCAGUAGCGGCGAGCGAACGGGGAGCAGCCCAGAGUCUGAAUCAGCUUGUGUGUUAGUGGAACGGUCUGGAAAGUCCGACGGUACAGGGUGAUAGUCCCGUACACCAAAAUGCACAGGCUGUGAACUCGAAGAGUAGGGCGGGACACGUGGUAUCCUGUCUGAAUAUGGGGGGACCAUCCUCCAAGGCUAAAUACUCCUGACUGACCGAUAGUGAACCAGUACCGUGAGGGAAAGGCGAAAAGAACCCCGGCGAGGGGAGUGAAAAAGAACCUGAAACCGUGUACGUACAAGCAGUGGGAGCACCUUCGGGUGUGACUGCGUACCUUUUGUAUAAUGGGUCAGCGACUUAUAUUCUGUAGCAAGGUUAACCGUAUAGGGGAGCCGCAGGGAAACCGAGUCUUAACUGGGCGUUAAGUUGCAGGGUAUAGACCCGAAACCCGGUGAUCUAGCCAUGGGCAGGUUGAAGGUUGGGUAACACUAACUGGAGGACCGAACCGACUAAUGUUGAAAAAUUAGCGGAUGACUUGUGGCUGGGGGUGAAAGGCCAAUCAAACCGGGAGAUAGCUGGUUCUCCCCGAAAGCUAUUUAGGUAGCGCCUCGUGAACUCAUCUUCGGGGGUAGAGCACUGUUUCGGCUAGGGGGUCAUCCCGACUUACCAACCCGAUGCAAACUACGAAUACCGAAGAAUGUUAUCACGGGAGACACACGGCGGGUGCUAACGUCCGUCGUGAAGAGGGAAACAACCCAGACCGCCAGCUAAGGUCCCAAAGUCAUGGUUAAGUGGGAAACGAUGUGGGAAGGCACAGACAGCCAGGAUGUUGGCUUAGAAGCAGCCAUCAUUUAAAGAAAGCGUAAUAGCUCACUGGUCGAGUCGGCCUGCGCGGAAGAUGUAACGGGGCUAAACCAUGCACCGAAGCUGCGGCAGCGACACUAUGUGUUGUUGGGUAGGGGAGCGUUCUGUAAGCCUGCGAAGGUGUGCUGUGAGGCAUGCUGGAGGUAUCAGAAGUGCGAAUGCUGACAUAAGUAACGAUAAAGCGGGUGAAAAGCCCGCUCGCCGGAAGACCAAGGGUUCCUGUCCAACGUUAAUCGGGGCAGGGUGAGUCGACCCCUAAGGCGAGGCCGAAAGGCGUAGUCGAUGGGAAACAGGUUAAUAUUCCUGUACUUGGUGUUACUGCGAAGGGGGGACGGAGAAGGCUAUGUUAGCCGGGCGACGGUUGUCCCGGUUUAAGCAUGUAGGCUGAUUGUCCAGGCAAAUCCGGAUAAUCAAGGCUGAGGUGUGAUGACGAGGCACUACGGUGCUGAAGUAACAAAUGCCCUGCUUCCAGGAAAAGCCUCUAAGCAUCAGGUAACAUCAAAUCGUACCCCAAACCGACACAGGUGGUCAGGUAGAGAAUACCAAGGCGCUUGAGAGAACUCGGGUGAAGGAACUAGGCAAAAUGGUGCCGUAACUUCGGGAGAAGGCACGCUGGUGUGUAGGUGAAGUCCCUGCGGAUGGAGCUGAGACCAGUCGAAGAUACCAGCUGGCUGCAACUGUUUAUUAAAAACACAGCACUGUGCAAACACGAAAGUGGACGUAUACGGUGUGACGCCUGCCCGGUGCCGGAAGGUUAAUUGAUGGGGUUAUCCGUAAGGAGAAGCUCUUGAUCGAAGCCCCGGUAAACGGCGGCCGUAACUAUAACGGUCCUAAGGUAGCGAAAUUCCUUGUCGGGUAAGUUCCGACCUGCACGAAUGGCGUAAUGAUGGCCAGGCUGUCUCCACCCGAGACUCAGUGAAAUUGAACUCGCUGUGAAGAUGCAGUGUACCCGCGGCAAGACGGAAAGACCCCGUGAACCUUUACUAUAGCUUGACACUGAACAUUGAGCCUUGAUGUGUAGGAUAGGUGGGAGGCUUUGAAGCGUGGACGCCAGUCUGCGUGGAGCCAACCUUGAAAUACCACCCUUUAAUGUUUGAUGUUCUAACGUUGGCCCCUGACCGGGGUUGCGGACAGUGUCUGGUGGGUAGUUUGACUGGGGCGGUCUCCUCCCAAAGCGUAACGGAGGAGCACGAAGGUUAGCUAAUCCUGGUCGGACAUCAGGAGGUUAGUGCAAUGGCAUAAGCUAGCUUGACUGCGAGCGUGACGGCGCGAGCAGGUGCGAAAGCAGGUCAUAGUGAUCCGGUGGUUCUGAAUGGAAGGGCCAUCGCUCAACGGAUAAAAGGUACUCCGGGGAUAACAGGCUGAUACCGCCCAAGAGUUCAUAUCGACGGCGGUGUUUGGCACCUCGAUGUCGGCUCAUCACAUCCUGGGGCUGAAGUAGGUCCCAAGGGUAUGGCUGUUCGCCAUUUAAAGUGGUACGCGAGCUGGGUUUAGAACGUCGUGAGACAGUUCGGUCCCUAUCUGCCGUGGGCGCUGGAGAAUUGAGGGGGGCUGCUCCUAGUACGAGAGGACCGGAGUGGACGCAUCACUGGUGUUCGGGUUGUCAUGCCAAUGGCACUGCCCGGUAGCUAAAUGCGGAAGAGAUAAGUGCUGAAAGCAUCUAAGCACGAAACUUGCCCCGAGAUGAGUUCUCCCUGAGACUUUAAGUCUCCUGAAGGAACGUUAAAGACGAUGACGUUGAUAGGCCGGGUGUGUAAGCGCAGCGAUGCGUUGAGCUAACCGGUACUAAUGAACCGUGAGGCUUAACCUU
rnacentral:rRNA from 62 species